rnacentral:lncRNA from 1 species
GGCCGGGAACAGGGAGAGGGAGAGUUUCUGUUUUUUUUCAUUUUUCUUUUAUUCCAAAAGCCAUUUGAAACUCAUUUAAAAAUCCUUUUAAAUCAUUUGGAGUUUUGAGUUCAAAUACACUCAUCACAAUAAAUAAAAUGCAGGAGCAUGAGUGCACAAAAAUGUUGCUACACCCUAUGAUAAAUUUUAUUUUGAUGAAGAAUAUUAUUUCCUAUGUUUCAUGAGCACCAAAAAUUCAUAAUUAAAUCAUUUUAACUCUAUUUCCCAGAAAACAUUUUUUUAGGGUGCUACAAUUAAGAGAGAGUCG